rnacentral:rRNA from 1 species
AUACGUAGGGGGCAAGCGUUAUCCGGAAUUACUGGGCGUAAAGCGAGCGUAGGCGGUUAAUUAAGUUAAGUGUGAAAGCCUUGGGCUUAACCCAAGAACAGCACUUAAUACUGGUUGACUUUGAGUAUUGGAGAGGUAAGUGGAAGUUUCUAGUGUAGCGGUAAAAUGCGUAGAUAUUAGAAGGAACAUCAGAGGCGAAGGCGGCUUACUGGACAAUUACUGACGCUGAGGUUCGAAAGCGUGGGGAGC